GAGUUUGAUCCUGGCUCAGAACGAACGCUGGCGGCAGGCUUAACACAUGCAAGUCGAACGAUGUAGCAAUACAUAGUGGCGCACGGGUGAGUAACGCGUGGGAACGUGCCCUUUGGUUUGGGAUAACACCGGGAAACUGGUGCUAAUACCAAAUACGCCCUUCGGGGGAAAGAUUUAUCGCCAAAGGAUCGGCCCGCGUCAGAUUAGCUAGUUGGUGGGGUAAUGGCCUACCAAGGCUCCGAUCUGUAGCUGUUCUGAGAGGAAGAUCAGCCACACUGGAACUGAGACACGGUCCAGACUCCUACGGGAGGCAGCAGUGGGGAAUAUUGGGCAAUGGCCGAAAGGCUGACCCAGCGACGCCGCGUGUGGGAGGAAGCCCUUCGGGGUGUAAACCACUGUCAGGAGGGACGAAAGAGUUCACGGUGAAUAAUCGUGAGCAGUGACGGUACCUUCAAAGGAAGCACCGGCUAACUCUGUGCCAGCAGCCGCGGUAAUACAGAGGGUGCAAGCGUUGUUCGGAAUUACUGGGCGUAAAGCGCGCGCAGGCGGAUCCUGUAAGUCGGAAGUGAAAUUUCACGGCUCAACCGUGAAGCUGCUUCUGAUACUGCGGAUCUGGAGAUCGGUAGAGGUCGGUAGAAUUACAGGUGUAGCGGUGGAAUGCGUAGAUAUCUGUAAGAAUACCCGUGGCGAAGCGGCCGACUGGGCCGAAUCUGACGCUGAGGCGCGAAAGCGUGGGGAGCAAACAGGAUUAGAUACCCUGGUAGUCCACGCCGUAACGAUGGGC
rnacentral:rRNA from 1 species